CAAGUUGAAAUCAAUGGAGGAGUUGCAGAUAUAACUGUUGACAAGGAUUUGAAGAGGGUAUCUGCAGAUAUUAUAUCUAAGGCUUGUUUUGGUAACUCUUACUCCCAAGGCAAACAAAUCUUUGCAAAAUUGGAAGUCCUCCAAGGAGUUAUGUCUAAACCGAGUAUACUUUUUGGACUCGCAAACUUCAGAUUUCUUCCCACGGAGAGCAAUAGGAAAAUGUGGACCUUACAGAAAGAGAUAGAGACACUGAUACUGGACGUAGUCAAG
rnacentral:misc_RNA from 1 species